UGUCUCAGAGGUGAAGCACUGGUCCAGGUGUGUGUCUGUAGGUGUGUGUCUGUAGGUGUGUAUUCACUGUGUCUUUUGUCUCCAGAGGUGAAGCACACUGGUCCAGGUGUGUGUCUGUAGGUGUGUGUCUGUAGGUGUGUGUCUGUAGCUGUGUGUCUGUAGUUGUGUAUUCACUGUGUCUUUUGUCUCCAGAGGUGAAGCACACUGGUCCAGGUGUGUGUCUGUAGGUGUGUGUCUGUAGGUGUGUAUUCACUGUGUCUUUUGUCUCCAGAGGUGAAGCACACUGGUCCAGGUGUGUGUCUGUAGGUGUGUGUCUGUAGGUGUGUGUCUGUAGCUGUGUGUCUGUAGCUGUGUAUUCACUGUGUCUUUUGUCUCCAGAGGUGAAGCACACUGGUCCAGGUGUGUGUUUGUAGGUGUGUAUUCACUGUGUCUUUUGUCUCCAGAGGUGAAGCACACUGGUCCAGGUGUGUGUCUGUAGGUGUGUGUCUGUAGCUGUGUGUCUGUAGGUGUGUAUUCACUGUGUCUUUUGUCUCCAGAGGUGAAGCACACUGGUCCAGGUGUGUGUCUGUAGGUGUGUGUCUGUAGCUGUGUGUCUGUAGGUGUGUAUUCACUGUGUCUUUUGUCUCCAGAGGUGAAGCACACUGGUCCAGGUGUGUGUCUGUAGCUGUGUGUCUGUAGCUGUGUGUCUGUAGCUGUGUGUCUGUAGGUGUGUAUUCACUGUGUCUUUUGUCUCCAGAGGUGAAGCACACUGGUCCAGGUGUGUGUCUGUAGCUGUGUGUCUGUAGCUGUGUGUCUGUAGCUGUGUGUCUGUAGGUGUGUAUUCACUGUGUCUUUUGUCUCCAGAGGUGAAGCACACUGGUCCAGGUGUGUGUCUGUAGCUGUGUGUCUGUAGCUGUGUGUCUGUAGCUGUGUGU